rnacentral:tRNA from 1 species
ACUUUCAUAGGACAGAAGUAAUCCUAUGGCUUUA